CCCAGCCCUCAUUUAAGGGUUGGCAGUGGAGGUGAGGAGUUCUUGCUGAACAUCCCUGCGUACCUGAGGCCUUCUAAAGGCUGGAUUUUCUGAAGUGUGAUUUAAUGCUUACAACUGCAACUGAAAUCAUGGAAACUGUUCUUUGAAUAUACUCAUGGCUAUAAAAAAGCUUACUGCUUCAGGAAAUUGAAUCGUGUCCUGCCAUUCACAGGAGGAGAGAUUAAGGAGGUAAGA